rnacentral:lncRNA from 1 species
CCGUCCCCCCCUCCCCCGGCCCCGUUUUUACGAGCGAAAAGCACAGCGAGGGGCACGGAGCCCCCCCCCCCCCCCCCCCCCCCCCCAAAUUUUCCCCUUGGCCCCGGGGGGGGGGGCCUGGGGGCGCCCCCCCCCCCCCGGCGCCGCUCGCGACCCCCGGGGACUUUUGCACUACCGGGGCCGGGGGGAUCCGGCCGCCGGCCAAUGGGAGGGGGCGCUGCCGGGGCGGGAUCUGGCCGUCGGCCAAUGGGGAGGGAGGAGGGGGGUGGGGCGGGGCCGGCGUUGGGCCAAUGGGGGUGGAGGUGGCGGCUGGGCGGGGCGAGAAGGGGGCUCCGGCCAAUGGGGAGCAGUGGUGGAGGGGGAUCCGCUCGGGAGCCAAUUGGGAGCGAGUUCCUGGAGGGGCGGGGCCUGGUGGUCAGCCAAUGGGGAGCGGGUUCCCGUGGAGGUGGGGUCCAGUGGUCAGCCAAUCAGGAGCGGGGGCAGGAGCUGGUCUUGAGCCAAUCAGGAGCGGGCUGUAGCGGGGCGGGAUCUGGUGUUCGGCCAAUCAGGAGCGAGCUGUGGCAGUGCGGGAUCUGGUGUUCGGCCAAUCAGGAGCGAGCUGGGGGGGAUCCGGCCUCCGCCCGGCCAGCAGCGACUCUGGGUCGAGAUGGGAUCCGGCCAGGAUCCAAUCGGGAGUGACGUUGGAUUGGAGGGGCGGAUCCGGUUUCCAUCCAGUGGGGAGUCGGGCCGGGCGGGGGCGGGAUCCGGUCUUCAGCCAAUCAGGGGGCAUCCUGAGAAGGGCCGGGCCAAUCAGGAGCCAGGCCGGGCUGGGGCGGGAUCCAGGCUUCAGCCAAUCAGGAGUCAUUCUGGGCGGGCCUGGGCCAAUCAGGAGUGGCCGGGCAGGGUUGGGGGUGGGAUCAAGCACAGAGCCAAUCAGGAGAGGCGCCGGGCUGGGGAAGGAUCAAGCG